UUGUAAAAACACUUAAAGUGCUUUAAUAUAUUUAAAACAGUAGGAUCAAAUUCAGUAAUCACUAUAUUAAUUAUGCAUAGUUUACAUAGGCAAUCAGUUGAGGUUAUUGCUGUCUGUAUAAUAAUCAAUAUGUUAUCAGCCAUAAAGUGUCCCAAUAUCAGUAAAAAAUACUGUCUGAUUGAACUCAUAUAUGUGAGUCAGUGUUGCAAGUCAGUUUUAUUUUUUAUAUAUUACAAUGUAUUUGAGACUGUACACAGCAAUGCAAUACUUUUAACAAUAACCCAUGAGCACUGACUACUACUACAACUACUACUACAACAACUACUAAUAAUACAGUUGAGUUCGAACAAUAUUUUAUGUACAGUAGUGUACUGGUAUACUGUAAACAGAAACAUGAUUCUAGGCAUGAAUCAAAUGUACGGUGGUUCCUCCUCGUAGUCCAUAGCAGCUCACUGUCUUGUUCACAUCCAGACAGUUUCCUGAAAAUAAAUAAGGUUAGCAAUUAAUGAUUUGCAGGCCAGCUCAUGGAACUACAUAAAAGUUGUUAGUUGUUGCUUUUGUGGUUCACAUUUCCAUGUCAAUACAUUUCAUGACUCAUUACAAAUGACAUGGUGUGCAUCAGGUCAACAUCAAGCAAUGAAUGAAUGAAUGCUUUGUUUACCUUCAUAAACCAGUGCCAUUUUCUCUGGUUUCUUCCCUGCCCGGUCACAGGCCUCCUUUAGUAAAACUGAGAUGCUUUCCCUGGGAAACAUGUCCACUUCCGUGGUUUUCCCAGCACAUUUCACAAUGAUGUUGAUCUUGUCCACUUCAGCAGUUUCAUCAGCAUCACUGAAUGAGUUUGAGUACUGAAGCGGGAUGUGUGGAUGAUCUAAAAUAACAGAGCAAAACAAUGAUUAAAUAACGUUGAUUUUCUUGAUUGAGAAUUGAUUUUAUAGGGUUAGAGUUAUAAAGUAGAUGUUUCAUACCAUAAUGACCUGAAUGUGCAUUUACAGUGGUUUGUACAGGACUGCUAACCUCCUGGACCUCAGACACCCAUGUUUCAGCAGGUUUUGUGACUGGGAUGUCACCUGAAAAGAGCAAGUUGUUUUAUCACAUUACCAAAGUAAUAUUCAUAUGAAUGAAAA
ensembl:lncRNA